CCCAGCUCGUUAUGCUAGAGCACUUUUUCAAUGUGUCCAACGAGAAGUUGUUGUAUGUCAAUCCAUAUAAACUUCCAAAGCCAUUGACUGCGCCUACCAUGGUGGCCACGGGUAACGGGGAAUCAGGGUUUGAUUCCCUACAGGGACCCUGACAAACGGCUACCACAUGCAAGGAAGGUAGCAGGCGCGCAAAUGACCAACUCCCGACGCGGGAAGGUAGUGACG